rnacentral:rRNA from 1 species
GACAGAAGGUGCAAACGUUGUUCGGAAUUACUGGGCGUAAAGCGAGUGUAGGCGGUUUCCUAAGUCAGGUGUGAAAGCCCCGGGCUCAACCCGGGAAGUGCACUUGAAACUGGGAGGCUAGAGUAUCGGAGAGGUUGGUGGAAUUCUCGGUGUAGAGGUGAAAUUCGUAGAUAUCGAGAGGAACACCGGUGGCGAAGGCGGCCAACUGGACGAAUACUGACGCUGAGACUCGAAAGCGUGGGGAGCAAACAGG